UGCAAGUCGAGCGAACAGAUAAGGAGCUUGCUCCUUUGACGUUAGCGGCGGACGGGUGAGUAACACGUGGGUAACCUACCUAUAAGACUGGGAUAACUUCGGGAAACCGGAGCUAAUACCGGAUAACAUUUGGAACCGCAUGGUUCUAAAGUGAAAGAUGGUUUUGCUAUCACUUAUAGAUGGACCCGCGCCGUAUUAGCUAGUUGGUAAGGUAACGGCUUACCAAGGCAACGAUACGUAGCCGACCUGAGAGGGUGAUCGGCCACACUGGAACUGAGACACGGUCCAGACUCCUACGGGAGGCAGCAGUAGGGAAUCUUCCGCAAUGGGCGAAAGCCUGACGGAGCAACGCCGCGUGAGUGAUGAAGGGUUUCGGCUCGUAAAACUCUGUUAUUAGGGAAGAACAAAUGUGUAAGUAACUGUGCACAUCUUGACGGUACCUAAUCAGAAAGCCACGGCUAACUACGUGCCAGCAGCCGCGGUAAUACGUAGGUGGCAAGCGUUAUCCGGAAUUAUUGGGCGUAAAGCGCGCGUAGGCGGUUUCUUAAGUCUGAUGUGAAAGCCCACGGCUCAACCGUGGAGGGUCAUUGGAAACUGGGAAACUUGAGUGCAGAAGAGGAAAGUGGAAUUCCAUGUGUAGCGGUGAAAUGCGCAGAGAUAUGGAGGAACACCAGUGGCGAAGGCGACUUUCUGGUCUGUAACUGACGCUGAUGUGCGAAAGCGUGGGGAUCAA
rnacentral:rRNA from 1 species